rnacentral:rRNA from 1 species
UACGAAGGGGGCUAGCAUUGCUCGGAAUCACUGGGCGUAAAGGGUGCGUAGGCGGGUCUUUAAGUCAGGGGUGAAAUCCUGGAGCUCAACUCCAGAACUGCCUUUGAUACUGAAGAUCUUGAGUUCGGGAGAGGUGAGUGGAACUGCGAGUGUAGAGGUGAAAUUCGUAGAUAUUCGCAAGAACACCAGUGACGAAGGCGGCUCACUGGCCCGAUACUGACGCUGAGGCACGAAAGCGUGGGGAGCAAACAGG